rnacentral:rRNA from 1 species
UAAAAUAAUGAUUGGCUACAUAAUGCACCUCAUCCCGUUUGAGAAGUUAAGCAUCGUCGAGCCACAUCAGUACUGAGGUUGGAGACAACUUGGGAACCUGUGGUGCUGUAGUCU